GAUCAUUACCAACAACCACACAGAAAAAGGGAGGCAAAGGGGCCGACAGGAUUAGUAGCUUAUACGUUGUUGAACGUCCUGGCUGGACCCGGAGCCUCCCCCCAUCUAAACCCUCUGCGUACCUGUCCCUUCUUGCUUCCCCCGGCAUCUCUUGUCGGGGGGAGGGAACAACCAAAACUCUUUGUGAAUCAAACAGCCGUCAGAAUUACAAAACAAACAAAAAAGUUAAAACUUUCAACAACGGAUCUCUUGGUUCCCACAUCGAUGAAGAACGCAGCGAAAUGCGAUAAGUAAUGUGAAUUGCAGAAUUCAGUGAAUCAUCGAAUCUUUGAACGCACAUUGCGCCCCCUGGUAUUCCGGGGGGCAUGCCUGUUCGAGCGUCAUAAAAACCUCCUCCCCCUUCGGGUUUUGUUACUAUCGUUGGGGGGUUUUGGCCUAAUGGGAUAGCGUUUGGCAAUUCGUUUCCCAAUGUCCUAAAUAGACGUAGACCCGCCUCCAGAUGCGACAGCACCGAGGCCAUCAACCGUGGAGUUAUGGGAUAUAUAGGCUUGCAGUAAAAUGCUCACCUCUCUUCACACGCCGAUGGCACGACAGUUGCAGUUGCGGGCGUAAACUGGAGACCUUUUCAGGACCCACGUGGCCUAGCAUCCACCAUACAUAAUUUGACCUCGGAUCAGGUAGGGAUACCCGCUGAACUUAAGCAUAUCAAUAAGCGGAGGAAAAGAAACCAACAGGGAUUGCCUCAGUAACGGCGAGUGAAGCGGCAAAAGCUCAAAUUUUAAAGCUGACAUCUUCGGUGUCCGCGUUGUAAUUUUGUGAGGCAUCUCCGGGUAGGGCGCCGGCCUAAGUUCCUUGGAACAGGACGUCACAGAGGGUGAGAAUCCCGUGCUUGGCUGGCUGUCCCCGUCCAUGUGAGGUGUCUUCGACGAGUCGAGUUGUUUGGGAAUGCAGCUCAAAAUGGGUGGUAAAUUUCAUCUAAAGCUAAAUAUUGGUGGGAGACCGAUAGCGCACAAGUAGAGUGAUCGAAAGAUGAAAAGCACUUUGAAAAUAGAGUUAAAAAGUACGUGAAAUUGUUGAAAGGGAAGCGCUUGAGACCAGACUUCGGUAAGGGGUGAUCAGCCGUCCUUCUGGGCGGUGCACUUGCCCCCCUCCGGGCCAGCAUCGGUUGAGGCGGCGGGAUAAAGGUCCCGGGAAUGUGGCUCCUUCACGGGAGUGUUAUAGCCCGGGUGAAUGCCGCCAGCUUCGACCGAGGACCGCACCCGCAAGGGUUAGGAUGCUUGGCAUAAUGGUCUUCAGCGACCCGUCUU
rnacentral:rRNA from 1 species